GAUGAACGCUGGCGGCGUGCUUAACACAUGCAAGUCGAACGAAGCACUUUAUUUGAUUUCUUCGGAAUGAAGAUUUUGUGACUGAGUGGCGGACGGGUGAGUAACGCGUGGGUAACCUGCCUCAUACAGGGGGAUAACAGUUGGAAACGACUGCUAAUACCGCAUAAGCGCACAGGGUCGCAUGACCUGGUGUGAAAAACUCCGGUGGUAUGAGAUGGACCCGCGUCUGAUUAGCCAGUUGGUGGGGUAACGGCCUACCAAAGCGACGAUCAGUAGCCGACCUGAGAGGGUGACCGGCCACAUUGGGACUGAGACACGGCCCAAACUCCUACGGGAGGCAGCAGUGGGGAAUAUUGCACAAUGGGGGAAACCCUGAUGCAGCGACGCCGCGUGAGCGAAGAAGUAUUUCGGUAUGUAAAGCUCUAUCAGCAGGGAAGAAG
rnacentral:rRNA from 1 species